AAUAUUGGGCAAUGGGGGAAACCCUGACCCAGCGACGCCGCGUGAGGGAAGAAGGUCUUCGGAUUGUAAACAUUUGUCAACAUGGACGAAACAAAUGACGGUACCUGAAGAGGAAGCCACGGCUAACUACGUGCCAGCAGCCGCGGUAAUACGUAGGUGGCGAGCGUUAUCCGGAAUUGCUGGGUGUAAAGGGUGUGUAGGCGGGAUAGCAAGUCAGAUGUGAAAUGCCGUGGCUUAACUACGGCACUGCAUCAGAAACUGCUGUUCUUGAGGGUGGGAGAGGUAAGUGGAAUUCCUGGUGUAGCGGUGAAAUGCGUAGAUAUCAGGAGGAACACCGGUAGCGAAGGCGACUUACUGGACCAUUACUGACGCUGAUACACGAAAGCGUGGGGAGCAAACAGG
rnacentral:rRNA from 1 species